UGCAGUCCUUCCUAUCAAGUCCUGGGAGGACUUGAUCAAGAUAGGAAAUGGCCCUUCCUAUCAAGUCCUGGGAGUCAUCCUCCGAGAACUUGGAAGAGCAGGAGGUAAUCCAACCAAGGUCACAUAGCCGGAAGUGGUAAGCGGAGACUCAGCACCCUGACCGGCCUGUCAGCAAAUUUUUCAGCAGCCAGAGGGUGACCUCCAGAGUACCAGACCUGGGCUCAGUGCCCCUCUGCAUUUGUUUGAUGGAAACCCCUUCUCUGUCCCGGAGCCUCUGGUCAGAGAGCCGUCUGAGCUCCUGGGACCGGAGGAUGCUGGGUCUUGCGGUGAUUUCUGGCCCCAGUGAACAGAUCAUACCUGGGAUGAGCAGCAUUCAAAAUAGGCCCCGGGACCCCUGCCUCCUGGUGUGCACGCCCGAGGGCAAACCCCAUUCCUUGGAUGGUGUCAGAAGAGGCCCUGUGCUGAGCAUCCCUAUGGAGAAGGGCGUGUAGCAGAGGAACCGAAGCCGCCUGCCAAGAGCCGUGUGAGCGAGCUUGCGGUAAGUGGGUCCUUCAAUCCCAGUCAAAGCCUUCGGGUGUCUGCAGCCUUGGCUUGCUGCUUAACCACAAACUCAUGAGAGACCUUGAUCCAGGGUCCCCCAGCUAAGCGGCCUUCCGAUUCUUCCUCUCAGAAGUUGUGUGGGAUGAUAAAUGCUUAGUGCUUUAAGCCAUUACAUUUCGGGAAUUAUUUGUUCGGGAGCUCUAAGUGAGGAAUACAAGAUUUCAGUAAACUGAACAUGUGGGGAGAACAGCUUCUAAGUGCGCUUGGCCCAGCUGGCUUUCCAGAGGACCUCCAAGCAUUUUCCGUGACUCAGACUUCUGGGCUCAGUGUCUGGAACAGGGAGAUGAGCGGCCUGGAGCUCUGUCUAGACAUCAGGAAUGGGUGUCUCCAACAUAGCCACGGCAUCUACCCCCGGCCCCAGCCCUGAAACAGCUGCACAUGGCACCCAGCCUGCAACUGCUGUGGGGAGAAGACUCCAGAAAUGUUCCUCCAUCCCUCGCCCGCACCCCCCGGCCUCAUGCCCAGGUCUACCUGCAGGCCUCAGAAGCGAAUCACAGCUACUAUUUUUGGAACACUUCUUAUGUGACAGGUGAUAUGCAAAGCGCCUGGCGUGCAUCUUUUAAUUUAUUCUUCCCACCAUAUCAGAUAUUCCUGAAUCUAUUUUACAGUGGAGGAAGCAGAGACCCUGAAGUCACCUGCCUUGGACCUUAGAGCUACUAGGGCGUGGCUGCUUUAGAUUUCAAUUUGGAUCUGUCUAGUUCCCCCACUGAGAGGCCAGGAAGCAACCCCAGACCUGAAAAUACUUUUCUUAUCUGUUCUCUGUGAGAGAAAUCCCCUGUGCAUUCCUCCAUCAGAGAAAAAGCCACAAUCUCAAUCCAGAUUCCCCAGAGCGAUGAUAUAAAGAGCUGGGGAGUGUGGGGGGGGAGGUGAUGGGAGGGGUGGGGGGGUGGUGAUGGUCAUAUUCCAGAGUCAGGAAUCUCAGAGAUCACGGGAAUCACAGAGAGCAGGGGACUGAGAUCCGGAAAGGGAAGCGACUCUUCCAAGGACUCCAGCAGCCCAGGGCUCUUUCUACUGCACUGCCCUGCCUCUGUCACACAGAGGGGAAUUGUCACCUUGUGGGAGAAGCAUAACAGGGUAAUGGCUUUAGGGGAGGGGAAUGAGAGAGAAAGGAAAGUCAAAGGUAACAAUGGCAAAAUUGAGAUCUGCUAAUUUUAUCUUGGGUCAAGUCUACAAUGGCCAGGGGUUAUCGAAUCAGCAUCACAGAUGGUCCCACUGAGAGCCUCAGCAGCCCCAGAGGACAUCACAGAACAUCUCUGAGAACCAUGCUUGGCUUGUGGCAGGACCUGCUGAAAAGCACUCAUUUGCUGUGAGUGUUAGAUUGCCCUAGUCAUUCAUUCAUUCAUUCGUUAAUUCCCUAAGUAUUUAUUGACAGUCUGCUAUCUGCCAAGUACUGUUUUAGGAGCAUGGGUUAUUUCAGUGAACACAAGAUCCUUGUCCUUAUAAAGUUUACAAUACAUAGACAAUAUAUAAAUUCCAACUAACCUAGAAAGUGAAAGGUGUAAAAGAAGAAAAAGUAAAGAGGGGCUAAGACCUGAGAAUGAAAACUGCGUAUGGAGGGGGUGGGUUGAUGUCUUUUCAAGGUGGAUUGGGUCAGCCUCCUUGAGGAGGUUUCUUUGGAUCAAAGACUUGAAGAACGUGAGGUGUGCCACAUCCAAGUGAGUUAUAUGGACAUCCGGACAAAGCACAUUCCUGGCAAAACACACACUGAUGUAUUAUGGGUAAAGGGAAAUUAUGUCUACAAUUUACUCUCACACAGUUCAGAAAAAAUAAAUUACAGGGACACAUAGAUAUAGAUACACAAUAUGCAUGUGUAUUCACACUUGUAUAAAUAUACAUGUACACAUAGAAAAAGAAAGAUACAAAUAGUGUCAAAAUGUUAAUAUUUGGGGAAUCUG